rnacentral:piRNA from 1 species
UGGGACAGAAGAGUUUGAACUGGAUGGA